AUUGAACGCUGGCGGCAGGCCUAACACAUGCAAGUCGAGCGAGUGGCGGACGGGUGUGUAAUGUCUGGGAAACUGCCUGAUGGAGGGGGAUAACUCCUGGAAACGGUAGCUAAUACCGCAUACCAUCAGAUGUGCCCAGAUGGGAUUAGCUAGUGGGUGGGGUAACGGCUCACCUAGGCGACGAUCCCUAUCUGGUCUGAGAGGAUGACCAGCCACACGGGAACCGAGACACGGUCCAGACUCCUACGGGAGGCAGCAGUGGGGAAAAUUGCACAAUGGGCGCAAGCCUGAUGCAGGCAUGCGGCGUGUGUGAAGAAGGCCUUCGGGUUGUAAAGCACUUUCAGAGGGGAGGCGUUACCCGCAGAAGAAGCACCGGCUAACUCCGUGCCAGCAGCCGCGGUAAUAC
rnacentral:rRNA from 1 species